GGAAAGAGCCCAGCACUGAAUCCCGCGGUUGUCACGGCCGCGGGAGAUGUGGUGUUCGGGAGGUUCCGCUUUCUCGUCGUCGCAUCUCCUGUCCAAGUUCGUCUUGAACGGGGCCGUUUUCCCGCAGAGGGUGCCAGGCCCGUAGUGACGGAGGGCGGCGGCGAGAGGGACUCUCCUCAGAGUCGGGUUGCUUGAGAGUGCAGCCCUAAGUGGGUGGUAAACUCCAUCUAAGGCUAAAUAUUACCGCGAGACCGAUAGCGAACAAGUACCG
rnacentral:rRNA from 1 species